UACGUAGGGUGCAAGCGUUGCCCGGAUUUAUUGGGCGUAAAGGGCGCGUAGGCGGCUCGGCACGUCCGUUGUGAAAUCGCCCGGCUCAACUGGGCGGGGUCAGCGGAUACGGCCGAGCUUGAGCAAGCUAGGGGGCAAUGGAAUUCCCGGUGUAGUGGUGGAAUGCGUAGAUAUCGGGAGGAACACCAGUGGCGAAGGCGGUUGCCUGGAGCUUUGCUGACGCUGAGGCGCGAAAGCGUGGGGAGCGAUCCGG
rnacentral:rRNA from 2 species